rnacentral:rRNA from 1 species
UGCAGUCUGAAACUACGAGUGCAUGAAGCUGGAAUCGCUAGUAAUCGCAAAUCAGAAUGUUGCGGUGAAUACGUUCCCGGGUCUUGUACACACCGCCCGUCACACCAUGGGAGUUGGAAAUGCCCGAAGUCAGUGACCCAACCUAAGGGAGGGAGCUGCCGAAGGCAGGUUCGAUGACUGGGGUGAAGUCGUAACAAGGUAGC